rnacentral:rRNA from 1 species
GUAACGAGCGCAACCCUUGUCCUUAGUUACCAGCACGUUAUGGUGGGCACUCUAAGGAGACUGCCGGUGACAACCGGAGGAAGGUGGGGAUGACGUCAAGUCAUCAUGGCCCUUACGGCCUGGGCUACACACGUGCUACAAUGGUCGGUACAAAGGGUUGCCAAGCCGCGAGGUGGAGCGUAAUCCCAUAAAACCGAUCGUAGUCCGGAUCGCAGUCUGCAACUCGACUGCGUGAAGUCGGAAUCGCUAGUAAUCGUGAAUCAGAAUGUCACGGUGAAUACGUUCCCGGGCCUU